rnacentral:lncRNA from 1 species
GUUUUUUUAGGGCUGCACCUGCAGCAUAAGGAAGUUCCCAGGCUAGGGAUCGAAACAGAGCUGCAGCUGCCAGACUAUGCCAUAGCCACAGCAAUUCCAGAUCCGAGCCGUGACUGCAACCUACACCACAGCUCACGGCAAUGCCAAACUUAACCCACUGAGAGGGGCCAGCGACCGAAACCGCAUCUCCAUGGAUAUUAAUUGGGUUCAUUAACCACUGAGCCACAACAGUAAUUCCAAAGAAACACUUUUGAGCAGAGCAUAGUUGAUCUUAGGAGUUAGAUCAAUAAAACCACAGGGAGUUUCAUGAUGUUGUUGAGGGUAGAAAUCUGAUUAUAUUUCUCCAAAGCAGGGAGGUGGGAUGUGAACAUAAACUUUGCGAAAGACACUAUCCCAGGCAUUUUACAUCUAUGAUCUAACUAUAGCUAUAUCGUAUCAACAAAGCCAUGGACUAUGUAUGAUUAUUUCCUUCUAUUAUCAUUUGCAGGUUGAACUUAGUAAUGUGGAAGAAAUAUACCUUAUCCAAAGUGAUUUUGUUAAUCAAGUUCCAGAAAACCUCAUCUAUAAGGCAGAAAUCCUUUGGAAUGCACCCCAAGGCUUAGGACUAUUGCUCCAUUGAAUUACAAGGACGUGAACCCAUGAAUCUCUUAAGUCAGUUUAUUAUAGUGGCCAAACCUUCUUGAAAUACAUCAACGACUGUGAGGUGUGCUAGGUCAAAUCGAAAUAUCUCACAGAAGAAAAUAUAAUAGCAAAUCCUUCAGUCAAAUAUACUAAUGGCCUUCUUUCUUAAAAAAAAGAAAAAGAAAAAAAGGAGUUCCCAUCAUGGUUCAGUGGAAACUAAUCCGACUAGGAACCAUGAGGUUGCAAGUUUGAUCCCUGGCCUUGCUCAGUGGGCUAAGGAUCUGGCGUUGCUGUGAGCUGUGGUGUAGGUCACAGACUUGGCUGGGAUCCUGCAUUGCUAUGACUGUGGUGUAGGCCAGCAGCUUUAGCUCUGAUUUGACACCUAGCCUGGGAACCUCCUAUGCGGUGGGUGCGGACCUAAAAAGCAAAAUAAAUAAAUAAAUAAAUAUUUUUUUAAAAAAAAGAAAAGAGGAACCCUUUCUAUAACCAUGGAACCCAGCAAGCAAACACCAUGAACUUGCUCUGCCAGGGAGAAGACAUGAUGAACUCCAGCUCAGAAUCAUAUUGAAUCAGGUUCAAUUCAGGACAUAAAAUGAAAUGAAAAGCCCAAACUAAUUAGAUUGUAAUGAGCAGUUCAUAUGCCUUAUGUCGUUUUAUCACGUGCAGUAGGUGCUGUAUCCCUACAGUGAAUGACUUCAAGCAAGUCAUCAGCUUGUACUGUGUUCAAGAAUGCUAAUCAGAAGAAAGAGGAUUUUUUAUGACAUGCUUGAAGAAAACAAGAUUGAUUGUAGCUUCUUGAUCAUAGCAGUGCCUGUGGAAUGGCUUUAUCUCUAUUAAACUUCACUUGCAUUUCUAGAAAGCAUCGAGUGUCCUAAUGAGAAAGGCAGAAAUAAAGGAGUUCAUUAGUACAAAAUUGCUAAAGUUGAAAUGUCGUGUAACUAGUUGGGAGCUGAUAUUCUGAAGAAUAUUCAGAGUCUGGGUCAGAAACUCAAAUGUCAGUCACCAGUACCAUUUUGGUUUCCUCAGCCUCUGCUUCCCACAUCUCAACUACCACAUUAGCUUUCGGUGAAUUCCCAAUUCUGAGGCCAAAACCAAUUUUAUUUAAUAUCUCAUAGUGUUAGGGGAUGAUUGACCAAAACUGUCCACCUUGGCCAAGCACAGCAAUAACUGCUUGUGUAGGUUGUCUCACAGCAGGAGGUCCUGAUAAGGAACCUGAAGACUAACCAAGAGGAUUUGGGAGGGUUCAAUGGGAGGGAGGAGAAAACCAAGCUCCCAGGAUCCUUGGCACUGGAAUCCACAUUGGCUGAGAGGUAUGUGCCACCAAGAAGGACCCUAGGCCAGACCAAGUAUGGGCUGAGCAAGAUGAUUGGCCAGAGACAACCAGGAAACUAAUUCCAUUCCCAUAAAACAGGAGACUGUGAGCCAUGUGGCAGAGUGUGGCUUCUGGGUUCCCUUACCCUGCUCUUCUCUGCCUGGGCACUCCUUCCCUAUAA